rnacentral:antisense_RNA from 1 species
UUCCAAAUAUAUUACUUGUACCGGAUGUACCCCCUACACCUGUACCCGUUAAUCCAGUCGUUGCAGUUGUAGUACUAUUAG